UACAAAAUGAAAGAAAAUGAGAUUAAAUGUCUUUGAAAUUAAAGAAGGAAGAAAAAGAAAAUAGAAUGAAGUUUUUGAAAUUGAAUUUUGGACUAGUAAAAUUGUUGCGAUACAACUGUACUACAUACAGUGCAAUGUACAUUAGACAUUUGAAGGUGGUGAUUUUUUCAUGAGCAACUUUUCAGGAUUAUUUCAUCUUUUUAUUUUUCUUUUGAUUGAUUUGGCACAUAUGCAAAAGGGUAAGUUAGGAUAUGUUGUGUGUGCGCUCUUCUUUUGAGUUUUGCCUAAACAAGAUAAAGGUUAUUUUACAAGUCACAUUUCUUUGUAUAUUUUGUGUAUGGGCUGUAACCUGUAACACACAGUAAGGUAAUUUUGCCAUUUCUGUUGGUUAUUACGGUUGAAAUUGGAAAAUGGUGUAAGAUACAAAAUGAAAGAAAAUGAGCUUAAAUAUUUAAUGAUUAAAUGUAAGACAAAAUGAUACAACCGUUUGAUUUGUAAUUUAAUUAGCACAUUUUCUGGUUGUACACUUUAUUUUUUUUUUGUUGGUUUUGAUAUGUAUGAGUUCUUACUUGAGUUUGUUAUCAAAAAUGUAGUGUCCUUGCCAGAGCAACGGAGUUGAUUGUGGCUAUUAUGUGAUGCGAUAUAUGAAAGAGAUUAUCUCACACAAACGCACCAAGAUUCCCGAAAGUUAUUUUGCAGGAUGCCAGUUUUCCCAUUACGAUGAAACUCAACUUGAUGAUGUUAGACUUGAGUGGGUGCGUUACGUGUUUCAACAUAUCUAGUCUAAAAGAGUUGUUAUAAGUAAAUCACUCUUAUUUUCCCAAAGUUUGAGUUUCGAUGCAAAAAAGUACUAUACAUCUUGGGAAAAUAUUUUUUGUAAAGGAACAUUUUGUAAAGGUGAUGAAUAAUUGUGUUGGGAAAAUAUUUUUUUGUAAAGGAACAUUUUGUAGAGGUGAUGAUUUUGUAAAGGAACAUUUUUCUUUUUUGUAAA